UAGUUGGUGGAGUGAUUUGUCUGGUUAAUUCCGUUAACGAACGAGACCUCAGCCUGCUAAAUAGCCCGGCGAACACUUGUGUUCGAAUUCCAGGCUUCUUAGAGGGACAUUUGGUGCUUAGCCAAAGGAAGUUUGAGGCAAUAACAGGU
rnacentral:rRNA from 1 species